ACUUCUGCUUCUCAGAGUUUCUCUCAUGUCUGCCGUUUUCUAAAAGUAACCAGCCCAAAAUAAUCCUCAUGCCAAAGAGACAUAUCUUGGGGUGACCAAUUCCAGUCCCCAACAAUCGUAAAGCUACUUGAGGUGCUGUUCGAGGGGUGGGCACAAGACCAGCCCUUGCAGCCAGAGCAGCCAGCUCUUAUCUCUUAUAAACCGGACCUCCAUGGCAAGAUUUCAUUUGUGCUUUAAAAGGCAGAGAGUCAGAGCGCCCGCUGGCAUCUGAGAUGCCCUCCAGUCUGGGGCAACAUGCAGAUUCUUAGACUACAUUGAAGCGAAGUAUGUGUAGUUGCUGCCACUGUCCCAUUAAAAUGUAGGUAUUUUGUGAAUUGCUUUACUUUCACACGCACAAGAGGAAGGAUGGACAAAAUCCACACAAUCACUCUUUUCUUUGAGGCUGAAAAGAAAGAUGGUUAUACAAUUUGAUGGUUAUACUUCCCAGAGGCUGUCUCGAUCUAGUCUCAGCAUGGAAUCUAUUUAUUCUAGCAAAGCAAAGAUUUGUCGAUAAAUUAAAAAUGAAAACCUGAGGGGGAAAACCAAGUAUUCACUUCCGGGAAUCUAAGACCUUCCUAGUAUAAAGCAGCAGGACCUGCCUAACAAUGGAUGUGUUUUUCAUGUAAAAAUUUUGCCUUUAGUAAUCGAUGCUGCCCUCAGCACCGUUGCAGACUGGAUGACACAGAGCUUAUACUGGUCGGGGCAUUUCUGUAUCAAAAUGUCCUAUGUAGGGGCCAGCCUGGUGGCAGAUUUGCUGUCAACCAAAAGAAGCUUAAACUUUGGGUCCCCUUACUUGCAUGCCCCUCAUCCCAAGGCCCCUACCUAAUUUUGUACCUUUUUUUAAAGAAGUCACUCUAACUGUAUACAUUUUAGGCCCCCUAAACCCGGACCUGCCCUUGCUCUUCCCUUCCUCCCUCCCUCUCCUGAUUGGAUUCAUUUGGUUUAUCGGGAUUGGUCUUCCAAGUCAAGCUGUCCCCUCCUCCCUGGACAGACACACGCACACACAUGCACGCACGCCCCACCUCAGCGACCUGUGUUCACCUCCAGCGCAGCACUGUGACAAAGACUCUCCUUGAGCAAACUUCAGCCAGACUCCUCUGAGCCCUCUUUUCACCUAGGCCUCAACCUUGGUCUGUAAAAACUACAGACUCUCAACACUAAUGAUUUUGUCCACUCUAUCCCCCACCAUUAAAAGACUUGAACAAACACUAACAUAGUUUGAACAGCUCAAGGCCACAUCCCUAGGAUGACCCCAGCCCCCUGAAAGUGGCUGUCUGAGAAAGCUCAAGGCUGCCGAAAGAAGUUACAGCUUGUUCUAACCAACACCUGACAAUAGGUCCCGACCACCCUUCCUUAGAGCAGUUACUAAAAAGGGCUUACGGUUUUGAAUCCUUCCUCUGUCCCUCUGAGAUGUCUAUAUCUAUAUCUAUCCAGAUCUCCCAUAACUCAAGACCUGAAAGACAUUCCUUUAAAAUGUAACCAUCAGGAAGGACAGGGCCCCUGUCUCCCAGUCUCUGUGGGAGGAUAGAAUCCUAACUUCAAUGACUGCCAGCCAGCAGACACAGCUGGCCUAAUCAGUAUUUACACUGACCAACUCUUUGUAAUUUCUCACUUUCCUGAUUCUGCUGAGCCCCCUCUCACCCCCAUCUCUACUCCCUUUGUCUCUCUGUAAAACACCCAGUCACGUCUGUACAAAUCACAGUUGAGUUAAGCUCACACUGGACCCUAUUACUGAUUAAAAUCGUCCUUACCACCUUAAUGUCCAGCUUUGUCUAUCUUUGACAACUGAGCACCUGGAACCAUAAUACCUACCUCCUUGUCUGUCUCACUGGUCUCUCUGAAGGCAGAGACUGUGUCUUUAACCUCUGAUUCCUUCCACCUACUCAGGGCCUGGGUGUGCAGCAAAAACCCAGCAAAUGUUUGAUGAAUUAGUGAGUCAGAGGAGACCCAGGAAUGUGGCCUGUGCAAGUAACCACGUGAGGCAGCAGAGUUGUGAAAACAAAGGAGGAGGCUCUUGGAAAACCUUGGGGUUUCCAGGACCAACCAGAGAAAGCCAAAUAUGUACCCCUAACCAAUCACAUAGGAUGCCCCACUCCUGGUUAGCCUGCCAACGGCUGCCCCGUGCCGACAGUCUCCAACUGGGGCACAUCCGGAGACCUGAAGCCUCCCCUUUUUCGCCAGAGAGCUUUCCCACUCCCCCGCCUGCCUCAGUCUCUGCCGAAUGUGAGUGAUGGUGGCUGACUCCCUCCCUAUAGCAAGCUCCAAAUAAAAAACCUUUGCUCGUUA